CCCGCCCCCCUCCCUGGGGCCGGCGACUGACUAGAGGUUUCGGUGGCGAGCGGUCGCUAGGGAGUCCAUUGGCCGGCGGUGAGGCUGCGGCGGCGCUUGGAUGCGCCCACUGGCCGGCAGCGAGGAGAGCGGGGAUGCGGGAUGCUUCCCGAUUGGUGGCGGCUUCGCGGCGGGCUUCGCGGCGUGUUGUUUGGCCUGCGGCAUGGCUGGUGUUCUGGGAGCCGAUGCACGCAGAGCUGUUUGUGUGUCGCAAUGGCUGCGAGUAGGAGAAGCAGCGCUUCGCACACCUCUGCGUCCUCAUAGUCAGUUGUAAUUGAGAAGGCCAUAGCACGGGCUUGUUCAUCACCAGAAUCCGUGGUAAUCGAUUUUGGUCCCCUUACCUGAGUGCCACUAUUAGCCCUAACCUCCAGAUCCCGCCCAUAUUCACCAGAAAAAAAUCCGUCAUCAUAUUUCAGCCGGCAAGGUAAAUUUUCACCUCCCCUCAUGUGACUAAGAGAAGCCAGAUAAAAAUUGACGAGAGAAGCCAGACAACCGAUCGAAGAAAGGAAUGAAAACAAAAGAUAGAGAGAAGCUGCAUUUAUUCCCCAAUGGUUAGGUGUACCUUCUACAAUUUUUAUCAGGAAGUCCAUCUGAUUCUGUCAUGCCUAUCAAUGGGGAUAAUGAGAUUGCGAAUAUGCCCACGUCUUCAGAGUUGUUGACGGUCUCUAUGUGGAAGGGUUCAUAACUUUCUCUAGGUGCAGACCUGAAUACUAGUGGUACACACUUGCAACUAGCAAAAUUUGCAAGAUGCAGGGUCAGCUUUUCUUUUUACAAUGGAUGGUACGUUUGUAGCUCUUUGUCUCGUCCAUCAAAACACUUCAACACCUGCAGUACACUAACCUUUCUCAGUUUUGCUUCUCGCAUUUUUACAUUCUGCUCAAGGUGAAUGUUGAAUGAAUUUGUAUGGUACGCUAGAUUUCUUACAUGGGUGGUUGGAAACCUUAUGCUCGUAGUUACUAACCCUCACCCAGCCUGUCAAUAUACAAGGAUGCUGCAAAUUUGAGUUAGAUUUACUUUAAUUGCCAUCAGGUGGACGCUGAUCCUCACCCAGCCUGUCAAAUUUCACAGAUUUUUUGGUUUAGCCCACCCCCAAUCCAGGAGUUAUCUUGUAUAACAGGAAAAUAUGAUUGUUCAUUCAGGUUAUUGCUUGUUUUUUUGUAGGAAAACCAGAUGGUAAUCUUCUAUUUUUGGCGAUUAAUCAUGCGAUUCUAUCUAUAUAGGCUCCAUCAAUUCAGUUUAUUCUGUAGCCAUGGAUACUGUAAAGAAGAUCCACACCAUCAUCUUUGCUUAUUUUUAUAUACUGUAAGGUGCUUGUUUGCACUAACCUAUUUUCCUAUCUUGCAAAGCUAUCCAUUAAAAUAUGGUUAAUUUCUUCCCCGUAUUCUUUACCGUUGUAACACUAGAUUUGAUAUGCAUUUAUUUUGUUCCAUUUAAUAUUGAUUCGAUGAUAUGUGUCUGAUGAAUUAUGGGGAGUAUCUCUUUCACAUUGUGUCUGAUGAAUUAUGGGGAGUAUCUCUUUCACACUAAUGUUAGUUGUGAGCCAACCUAGUAGUUUCAUGAACUUCAAUUGCUUUUCAGGUUUUUACUUACGACAUUAUCAACCUCAAAUUGUUAGCUCCUUUUGUUCAUCACAGAGCGAUGAAGUUUAGUAGCACAACUUCUAGUAAUAUUAUGAAAAUCCAUAUUGAAGUGACUUAAGAUGCAUGUGUAUUUUAUUUUGAUGACACUCUCUGGUGCCAGACUAGUAAGCUUAGACAAUGGCGUAAAUAGUAAGACACGGACUAUUUCAAUAUGAUGACUCCCACCAUUGUAUUUGGCACAAUUUGUCUUGUUUCAGAGUUUUCGCUUUUUGUCUUGUUUCUCUUUAUACUUUUGAUUCAUACCUGCAGCGUGCGUGUUAUGUGUUCAUGUGAUUCUGAUCAAUUUGGUACAUCAAAAAUCCCUCUGGGAUAUCUUUGAUUUCAACAUUGCUACCAGUUUAGCGUAGUGAAGCCUGUUAAUCCUAGAGUGUUCGGUGUGCUCAUCUAUUGGGGGCCUCUACAUGUUUGUUGUUAUACUUCUGAGAACUAAAAAUAUUAUGUUUUUCAGGCAUCUGUCCAAGUGGUUGACGGCUAAUGUAUGAGGGAUACAGAGUAAUUUCUUUGUAUUUAUGGUUGGUAUGAGUAAUGCCAUGGAUAAGAAUAUUUUAGUCACCCUGGAGAAAUGGCUGGACAAGUAACUUGAUGGGAAAUCUCUGGUCAUCUGCAAAGUAAGCUAAUCGAAGAUCAAGUUCGACAGUACUCAAUAUUCGAGUUCAGCGGUACUCAGUUUUCAAGUUCAGGAGCACUCAGUUUUAUAAUAGUGAUUUCUAAAAUGUUUCAUGCUGCUGGUUACCUAGUGCUAAGUUGCAUUUAAUUGUCCGGACGAAUUUUAUUUGUAAUCGUAAGGAUGGAUUUCUUAUGUGAGAAAUUUCCCGGAACCACUACAUGGAAUUUAUUUAUUAGACAACUUUGUUAUGCCGUGGUUACCAAAAAUGCCUCGUGUACAUGAUGAAUUA